rnacentral:rRNA from 1 species
AGAAUCAACGCUGGCGGCGUGCCUAACACAUGCAAGUCGAACGAGACCUUCGGGUCUAGUGGCGCACGGGUGCGUAACGCGUGGGAAUCUGCCCUUAGGUACGGAAUAACAGUGAGAAAUUACUGCUAAUACCGUAUGAUGUCUUCGGACCAAAGAUUUAUCGCCUAGGGAUGAGCCCGCGUUGGAUUAGCUAGUUGGUGGGGUAAAGGCCUACCAAGGCGACGAUCCAUAGCUGGUCUGAGAGGAUGAUCAGCCACACUGGGACUGAGACACGGCCCAGACUCCUACGGGAGGCAGCAGUGGGGAAUAUUGGACAAUGGGCGAAAGCCUGAUCCAGCAAUGCCGCGUGAGUGAAGAAGGCCUUAGGGUUGUAAAGCUCUUUUACCCGGGAAGAUAAUGACUGUACCGGGAGAAUAACGCCCCGGCUAACUCCGCGCCAGCAGCCGC